UUCCUUGGACGUACCACCCUGAACACUCCUGAUCUCGUCUGAUCUCAGAAGCCAAGCAGGGUGGGGCCUCGUUAGUACUUGGAUGGGAGUAUGUACCUGUUUUUGCUAACCAAAAGAAAUCCAAAAAGG
ensembl:rRNA 5S_rRNA 5S ribosomal RNA